UACGUAGGGGGCAAGCGUUGUCCGGAAUCAUUGGGCGUAAAGAGCGUGUAGGCGGUCCGGUAAGUCGGCUGUGAAAGUCCAGGGCUCAACCCUGGGAUGCCGGUCGAUACUGCCGGACUAGAGUCGUGAAGAGGCGAGUGGAAUUCCCGGUGUAGCGGUGAAAUGCGCAGAUAUCGGGAGGAACACCUAUGGCGAAGGCAGCUCGCUGGGACGUUACUGACGCUGAGACGCGAAAGCGUGGGGAGCAAACAGG
rnacentral:rRNA from 1 species